CCUACGGGUGGCAGCAGUGGGGAAUAUUGCACAAUGGGGGAAACCCUGAUGCAGCGACGCCGCGUGAGUGAAGAAGUACUUCUUUACGUAAAGCUCUAUCAGCAGGGAAGAAAAUGACGGUACCUGAGUAACAAGCCCCGGCUAAUUACGUGCCAGCAGCCGCGGUAAUACGUAGGGGGCAAGCGUUAUCCGGAUUUACUGGGGUAAAGGGAGCGUAGACGGGGCGCCAAGUCUGGAGUGAAAUGCCGCAGCUUAACUGCGGAACUGCUUUGGAAACUGGCGAACUAGAGUGCGGGAGGGGUAAGCGGAAUUCCUAGUGUAGCGGUGAAAUGCGUAGAUAUUAGGAGGAACACCAGUGGCGAAGGCGGAUGACUGGACGGCAACUGACGGUGAGGCGCGAAAGCGUGGGGAGCAAACAGGAUUAGAUACCCUUGUAGUC
rnacentral:rRNA from 1 species